rnacentral:rRNA from 1 species
UACGUAGGGUGCAGGCGUUAAUCGGAAUUACUGGGCGUAAAGCGUGCGCAGGCGGUUUGCUAAGAGAGAUGUGAAAUCCCCGGGCUUAACCUGGGAACUGCGUUUCUAACUGGCAGGCUUGAGUGUGGCAGAGGGGGGUGGAAUUCCACGUGUAGCAGUGAAAUGCGUAGAGAUGUGGAGGAACACCGAUGGCGAAGGCAGCCCCCUGGGCUAACACUGACGCUGAGACGCGAAAGCGUGGGGGAGCAAACAGG